GAAACUUAAAGGAAGUUGACGGGGGCCCGCACAAGCGGUGGAGUAUGUGGUUUAAUUCGAUGCAACGCGAAGAACCUUACCUGGUCUUGGCAUCCCGGAGACCCUUAGGAAACUAGGGGGUGCUUCCAUCUGGAAGAAUCUGGAGACAGGUGCUGCAUGGCUGUCGUCAGCUCGUGUCGUGAGAUGUUGGGUUAAGUCCCGCAACGAGCGCAACCCUUGCCUUUAGUUGCCAGCAGUUCGGCUGGGCACUCUAAAGGGACUGCCGGUGUUAAACCGGAGGAAGGUGGGGAUGACGUCAAGUCCUCAUGGCCUUUAUGACCAGGGCUACACACGUACUACAAUGGCCGAUACAAAGGGCAGCGACACUGCGAGGUGAAGCCAAUCCCGUAAAAUCGGUCUCAGUCCGGAUUGGAGUCUGCAACUCGACUCCAUGAAGUUGGAAUCGCUAGUAAUCGUGGAUCAGCAUGCCACGGUGAAUACGUUCCCGGGCCUU
rnacentral:rRNA from 1 species